UACAGAGGGGGCAAGCGUUGUUCGGAAUUACUGGGCGUAAAGGGCGCGUAGGCGGCCUGCUAAGUCGAACGUGAAAUCCCCGGGCUCAACCCGGGAACUGCGUCCGAUACUGGUUGGCUUGAAUCCGGGAGAGGGAUGCGGAAUUCCAGGUGUAGCGGUGAAAUGCGUAGAUAUCUGGAGGAACACCGGUGGCGAAGGCGGCCUGCUGGGCAGUAGCUGACGCUGAUGCGCGACAGCGUGGGGAGCAAACAGG
rnacentral:rRNA from 1 species